rnacentral:rRNA from 1 species
UACGGAGGGUGCAAGCGUUAUCCGGAUUCACUGGGUUUAAAGGGUGCGUAGGUGGGCAGGUAAGUCAGUGGUGAAAUCUCCGGGCUUAACCCGGAAACUGCCAUUGAUACUAUCUGUCUUGAAUACCGUGGAGGUGAGCGGAAUAUGACAUGUAGCGGUGAAAUGCUUAGAUAUGACAUAGAACACCAAUUGCGAAGGCAGCUCACUACACGAAUAUUGACACUGAGGCACGAAAGCGUGGGGAUCAAACAGG